AACUCAUGGUGUGGGCAAUGGUUUUUGUAGCUCCCCAAUCUCUCCCAUGCUUCACCAAAACUCUCAUUGCUGUGUUGAGUGAAGCUGGAGAUUUGGUUUCUCAGUUU
rnacentral:snoRNA from 1 species